rnacentral:rRNA from 1 species
UACGGAGGAUCCAAGCGUUAUCCGGAUUUAUUGGGUUUAAAGGGUGCGUAGGCGGCCUAUUAAGUCAGGGGUGAAAGACGGUAGCUCAACUAUCGCAGUGCCCUUGAUACUGAUGGGCUUGAAUGAACUAGAGGUAGGCGGAAUGUGACAAGUAGCGGUGAAAUGCAUAGAUAUGUCACAGAACACCGAUUGCGAAGGCAGCUUACUAUGGUUUUAUUGACGCUGAGGCACGAAAGCGUGGGGAUCAAACAGG